rnacentral:piRNA from 1 species
UGACAGUGAGUCCAUUGCAAU